GUUGACUUUCCUUGUGAUUUUUCUGGAACUCCGAGGCAACCUGUUUUCCCAAGAACAGGGCACCGAGGUGGUUGCAAGGGUGCGGAGGGAGGAUCGCACCUGUGGAAGAGGCGCGCCGGUCUCUCUCAGGGACCUGUAGCUACACGCAGAAGAUGCUGCCAAUUGCGCGGAGGUCUCUGACGCUUGGUGCUGAGGACAUUGUACUAAUUUAAAUGGUAUCAGAGUGAACACGAUGCUACAUGUAGAAUGAAACUUCCCAAGCCCUCACCUGAAGAGAUAAGGCUGAAGUCAUAAACAUCAUACGUGGAAAAGUAUUGCAAACCUGCUUCUCUUCUGUGCUGGGGUCUGUACCAAUGUUCACUGAACCAAACAAGGUCCCUAUCUUACAGAAGAUGCUUCUUGAAGGAUGGCGUGUUAAUCUUCUAAGUAUGUUCUGGUUGGGAGGAUAGAGCACUGUCACAGCUACAGCUAUACCUCUGCAAAGCCAGGAAUAACACAUGCCCUAGGAGAGUCUCUAGCCUUAAUCUGUAGCUGCAAAUAGAAAUGAAAACUCAUUUUCUCAAUAAUGAAAUGUUUUUGGGUAGGGCUAAAAGCAGAAUGAACCACCAAAAAGCCCCUUUUGACAUGGUGCCUGUGUAAAGACAA
rnacentral:lncRNA from 1 species